rnacentral:rRNA from 1 species
GAUGAACGUUGGCGGCGUGCUUAAUACAUGCAAGUCGAACGAGGAGUUUUGUAUUCGUACAGAACUUCCUAGUGGCGAACGGGUGAGUAACGCGUUGGUAACCUGCCCCGAAGAGGGGGAUAACAGUUCGAAAGAAUUGCUAAUACCCCAUGUGGUCUUUAGGAUUAGAUGCCUUUUGACUAAAGGAGUGAUCCACUUCGGGAGGGGCCUGCGUCCCAUCAGCUAGUUGGUAGGGUAAUGGCCUACCAAGGCGACGACGGGUAGGGGACCUGAGAGGGUGGUCCCCCACAAUGGCACUGAAAUACGGGCCAUACACCUACGGGUGGCAGCAGUAGGGAAUAUUGCACAAUGGACGAAAGUCUGAUGCAGCAACGCCGCGUGCGCGAUGAAGGCCUUCGGGUCGUAAACUCCUUUUCUAGGAGAAGAGACAAGGACGGUAUCCCAGGAAUAAGUCUCGGCUAACUACGUGCCAGCAGCCGCCGUAAUAC